GCCAGUUAAGAGAACUUUAAUGGGGACAUUAAAUCCCGCUUCCUCAAAACACCUGAGUUUCCCACGUCGGUGAGGUUCAAUGAAAACGUUAAAAACAGAUGCUAGAGCUCCAGGGGAAGACUGAAAAGGGAAACAAGUGUCAAAGAUCUGCUCGAUCCAUCCUGAUGCCCUACUUCGAGUUGGAGUUCUCAUUACCUGAAAAUCACACGCUGCUGCUGAACGGCCCAACAUGGACAGCCUAAAGACCAAUGUGAUUACUGUGGAUGGUGCCACAUAGAAACCCUACAGAUGGCUGUGAAUGUUCUUCCUUGGAUAGUCUUAGGACUUCAGUUUUGC
ensembl:lncRNA